rnacentral:rRNA from 1 species
GACGAACGCUGGCGGCGUGCUUAACACAUGCAAGUCGAACGGAAAGGCCCUGCUCUUGUGGGGUGCUCGUGUGGCGAACGGGGGAGUAACACGCGAGUAACCUGCCCUUGACUUUGGGAUAACUUCAGGAAACUGGGGCUAAUACCGGAUAGGAGCUCCUGCUGCAUGGUGGGGGAUGGAAAGUUUCGGCGGUUGGGGAUGGACUCGCGGCUUAUCAGCUUGUUUGUGGGGUAGUGGCUUACCAAGGCUUCGAAGGAUAGCCGGCCUGGGAGGGUGACCGGCCACAUGGGGACUGAGAUACGGCGCAGUCGCCUACGGGAGGCAGCAGGGGGGAGUAUUGCGCAGUGGGCGGAAGCCUGAUGCAGCAACGUCGCGUGCGUGAUGACGGGCUUCGAGUUGUAAACAGCUGUCGCCUGUGACGAAGCGUGAGUGACGGUAAUGGGUAAAGAAGCAACGGCUAACUACGUG